AGGGCAUUGAGCACAGACUGAAUGACUCAGUGACGCUUGGAUCAGGUCAGAUCAAAUUCUCAAGCAAACAGAUGGCUGGGGAUAUUCAGUAGCAACGGUGAGGAGAGAGAGGAACAAUUCACAUUUCAAGGGACCCUUCCUCAAAACGGUCUGUUCUGAAGGAGCUUUCCCGCAGAAAUCACUGGAUUGAAAGGAUUGGCUGGCCAACAGAAGACAGCAAGUGGUAGCGGAAGGAAAAUAUUCUACCUGGAAGUCUGUGGGACAUAUAAACAUAUCUUCAAAUCAAUCAAGACCAUUUUCUGCUCAGGGUAUGGCUCUGUGUAUGGCAGCAGCAAUGAUGCACCGACAUGGAAUAGGGAAUGUGAUGGAGACAUCGUUUGGACAAUGUACAAGGAGACCUCACAUGGUCCAGUUUGGGAGAGAAUGACAUUAUUGUGUGAUCCAACUCAGAGAGGGAGAAAGUGUCAUCUGCCCGGGAAGAAGCGGCCUAUUGCACUCUCUCUCCUUCAUUACUCCCCAUCACAGUAACGUGUAUGAGCUAAAACAAAACUCUACUGUUAUUGUUACCAUUCUUAUUUUUAUAGAAUCCCAGCAGUGUGGAAACAAGCCCUUCGGCCCAACAAGUACAUACCAACUUUCCAAAGAGUAACCUUGCCAUGCCCUCACAGUUACCACUGACUAAUGCACCUAAAGUAGAAAUCGCGGAACACGAUGGACUAUUUGACCAAUUCACUUGAAUUAUACAGCUUUGGGCUGUGGGAGGAAACGGGAGCACCCAUUAGAAGCUCACACAGACACGGAGAGAAGAUGCAAACUCCACGCAGAUAGUCGCCCGAGGCUGGAAUUGAACUCACGUCUCCCUGAUGCUGUGAUGGAACAGUGCGAACUACUGAGCCACUGUGCUAACCUGGAACCUCCUGCCAGCCUAAAGCAAAGGGAAUUCAGCCAAAUCCAACUCUCCCAGGAUAAAAUUCCCAUUGCUAGCAGCUGUGUGAGUGGAAUACCUUCAGAAGCAGAAUAACAUUUUGGAGAAUCUCACAAUUUUUCCUUUUGUCAUGAGUUACACUAAUAUUUGGAUAAGGUUCUUUCAACGUGAAAUUGCACAGAUUUGUGUGUGUGUGUGUGUGUGUGUGUGUGUGUGUGUGUGUCAGUGUUUUUAGAAUGGGAAAUAUCGAGUCUUUAUUUGCAAUACGCAAACAGUUUGCCAUCCAUCUUUCCAUCAUAGUUGGAGUAACAUUGAUCUGGAUCGGAAACGUGUUGUUUUAGCAGAUUACAGAAACUAGCCUGACUUGUUCCUAAAACUGACCCUGACCCAGUCUGAGACCGAUAUCAUCGGCCAUAUCACCGACCUGGUUACAUUUAACAUUUGUUGUGAGCAGUGGAGGAGUGGGACAAGAAAAGGAAACAGUGACCCAAAAAGCCGGGGAACUAUAGACCGGUGAGCCUGAUGUCAGUGGUGGGUAAGUUGUUGGAGGGGAUUCUGAGGGAUAGCAUUUACAUACAUUUGGGAAGGUAAGGGCUGAUUGGGGUAGACAACGUGGCUUCCUGCAUGGGAAAUCAUGUCUCAUUAAUUUGGUUGCGUUUUAUGAAGAGGUGACAAAGAAGAUUGAUGAAGGCAGUUUGGUAGACAUUGUCUAUGUGGACCUCAGCAAGGUGUUCAUAACAUUCCGAUCGGUAGGCAGAUUAGUAAGGUUCGGUCACAUGGGAUACAGAAGAAGCUCAUCACAAUUGGCUUGAAGGAAGAGGGAUAUUUUUCAGACUGGAGGCUUGUGAGCAGAAAUUAUACACUUAAUGGUAAGGGCCUGGGGAGUGUUGUGAAACAAAUGGACAUAAGGCUGCAGGUACAUUGUUCCUUGAAAGUGAAGUUGAAUGCAGACAGUGCGGUACUGAACACAUUUAACACAUUUGCCUUAAUCAGUCAGAGCAUUGUGUAUAGGAGUUGUGGUGGAGGGAAAUGGGGUUAGCGUGGAUGGACAUUUACAAGGUGGAGUCGAACCCUUCUGUUAAUUAAAACCAAACACCCAGAAAAGCUCACCUCACCUCGUAAUCUGUUAAAAUAUGAGCGACACAGAUCUCCCACAUUCCACUAUUUAAACAAAGAUUAACAAGUUUAUUUCUUAACUUUAUUAGUGAAAACUAAACAACAGCUAUUCACAAAUACAAGCCCCUCUUUUCUUAGCUACUUACUAUCUGACUCCAACUCUGUAAAAAGUAUGUUGUUCCAACAACCCACACAUUAAACAUUACAAUCUCAAGACCAUACAGUCUCUAUCUUCCCCGCUGUAUUAACUCUUUCAGCUGCUGAUCUCCUUGGUUCAUUUUUUUUAUUGCAAAGAGGUUUGCAUGAACAUGUGUCUUUGAUAGAGUGUGUUUGAGAUGGUCAGUUAGCACUCCUGCUCUACAGCAGUUGCUCUACUGUUGGAUGGCAGUAGCUCU